GAGCAUUCAUUUCCAGGGAGAAAGAAAAUAGAUGUUUGAAUGCAUCGGUGAAGAUACAAUAAUGACCAGGAUUAUCAGUGCUAUCAUCAUCACUUGGGAUUAUAUUUGAUCAGAAGAACGAAGAAAACGAAGAGGAGUGAAGAUGAACCAAACUGCAUCCGUCUCUCAUCAGAUUGAGUGUCAGCCGGUCAAGGAUAGUAAGGAGUUUGUGGAUGUCAGCCCUCAGCAGAGGAACUGGAAGGGCAUCGCCAUCUCUCUGCUGGUGAUCGUGGCCGUGUGCUCGCUCAUCACCAUGUCCGUGGUCGUCCUCACGCCCGCUGAGCUCCCCGGAAACAACAAGUCCAGGCUGACUGCGGCGGAUCUGUACAAACCAGAGUUCAGCGUCCACAACCCC